CGUUUCUAUCGCUAUAAGAGAACGCUGUAAACUCAAAUUCUUAUCCCUUUAUUUGUUUUCCGCCGAAAAAUAGCGCUCUCUACCUGUUGAUUGGUACGAACACUCUAUUGAAUCUAGGCUGAAUAUAGAGAAGAUAUCUUACCUGCUGCUCCAGUGUAAGGAGUAUAAGCAUCAAAUCCGUUUGUGUACUGGCCGGUGUAGGGGGCAGCCGCAGCUGCUGCUACUGCUGCAGCAUUCUGGUACUCGUAGAACUGCGAGGUAGCCGCUGCUGCCACGGCUGCAGCAUGCGUCAGUUGCGUAGCCUGUAGAGGAACUAAACUGCCGGGUGCGGUAGCUGCCAGAUAGGGUGAUGGGUAGACGUAGCCUGGUGGAACUCUGAAAAUAUUGACGAACAAUUAGGAUACUAAGAGGUGUGGGUCAAAUGUGCGAAAAAGCAAACACCAGAAGACUCAAACCUUGGUGGCCGAUAUAAGAUUAUAGCAAGUAUUAUACAAAUAAAAUUCAGUGAUACAGUUGUUCAGAUAUCUC